UACGUAGGGGGCUAGCGUUGUCCGGAAUCAUUGGGCGUAAAGAGCGUGUAGGCGGCCCGGUAAGUCCGCUGUGAAAGUCGGGGGCUCAACCCUCGAAUGCCGGUGGAUACUGUCGGGCUAGAGUGCGGAAGAGGCGAGUGGAAUUCCUGGUGUAGCGGUGAAAUGCGCAGAUAUCAGGAGGAACACCGAUUGCGAAGGCAGCUCACUAAACUGUAACUGACGCUGAGGCACGAAAGCGUGGGGAGCAAACAGG
rnacentral:rRNA from 1 species